CAUGGCAACAGAUGGGGGCCGUGACGCCUAUGGGUGAUGUCAUCACUGGGUUUGGACUGAAAGCUGGUUCCUGAUACCAACAAAGACGGCAAAGGCGGACUGCGACCCAAGAAAGCGCAGUGGUCACCAGUGCCUCCUUGCGGCAAUUCACAAAUAGUUAGACAUGGUCUAGCUCUAGGAGGUCUGGUUGAGGCUGGCACUGUCGCAGCUCUUUACUCUGAGGGAUCCUCUGAUCCUCCUGAGAGCUAGAGGUGGCAAAGAUAUUCCUCAACAUUUUCCAGUACACCAAUGCACAUCAUGGUUUUCUGGACACCUCUCCGUCUCCAAUGUGCGUGAGCGUCAUUUUUUCCAAGUGGUAUUCAACUUUGUCUUCUUCCAUGGAGUGAGCAGUGUGCUCAUUGACUUGAUCAGAGACACAAAGGAAAAGAAUCAGACCUGUUUCCAAGUGACCGAGACAGAACCACAAAAGAAAAACACGAGGUUCAUGUGGGAACCGAACUCAGGUCCUGUGACAAGCACCUUCAUGUGCUGAGCCAUCUGUCCACCUCAACCUAAAUAUCCAGCCUUAGAGGAUUAAACAAACUAUUGUUUAUCCAACUAGGAAAGCAUGUAAAUCAGCUGAAAGUGUUGAAUAGAAUAAAAGCAGUAUGUAAAAACA